AUUUUUAUCUAUUUUUAUGUAUUAAUAAAGAAUAUGUUUUGUGAUCUUACAAUUUCCGUCUACACCUAUUUUUGGAUUACAAGUUAAUUAGGCAUGAUCUCGCUUGAUGCUGCGCUGGGUACAAGGGGCCCAUUCGUGCCUAAGUGGUAAAGUCACCGAACGCUGAUACUUGAAAUCCUGGCUGCAUGGGUUUUUUUUUGUGGUUUCCUAUUUACAACAUGGAUAUGAGCCAAUUUUCCCCAGAAAGUCUUCCAGGAAGGCAUCCCUCCCCUUAGGCAGG